rnacentral:rRNA from 1 species
AAUGGAGGAAACUCUGACGCAGCCAUGCCGCGUGAGUGAAGAAGGCCCUAGGGUUGUAAAGCUCUUUCAGAUGCGAAGAUAAUGACGGUAACAUCAGAAGAAGCUCCGGCUAAAUUCGUGCCAGCAGCCGCGGUAAUACGAAUGGAGCGAGCGUUGUUCGGAAUCACUGGGCGUAAAGCGUAUGUAGGCGGAUAAGAAAGUCAGAAGUGAAAUCCCAGGGCUUAACCCUGGAACUGCUUUUGAAACUUCUUGUCUAGAGUCCCGGAGGGGUUGGCGGAAUUCCGAGUGUAGAGGUGAAAUUCGCAGAUAUUCGGAGGAACACCAGUGGCGUAGGCGGCCAACUGGACGGGAACUGACGCUGAGAUACGAAAGCGUGGGGAGCAAACAGGAUU